rnacentral:lncRNA from 1 species
AACACUAAAACACACCUCUACCUGAUUCUUUAGGUGAUGUUUACCUAGCAAACAUAUUGAAAAUGUUUAUUUAUAAUACAGUACAUACAUCUGCACUCUCUUGAACACCUAAUAUUGUGUCUCCCAUUGCUGGCGUGCAAUGUUUACUUACUGAAUGAUUGAAUAAGGUAGUUCCAGAAAAAAUAUACAUGUGGCCGGGCGUAAUCCCACCUACUCAGGAGGCUGAGGCAGGAGAAUCGCUUGAACCCAGGAGGCAGAGGUUGCAGUGAGCCGAGAUCGUGCCACUGCACUCCAGCCUGGGCGACAGAGCAAGACUCCGUCUCGAAAAAAAAAAAAAAAGUCAAAUUUCAGCAUUCAGGUCAGGUGCGGUGGCUCACGCCUGUAAUCCUAGCACUUUGGGAGGCCAAGGCGGGCGGAUCACUUGAGGUCAGGAGUUUGAGACCAGCC